rnacentral:tRNA from 1 species
GGGCGAGUAGCUCAGUCGGUCAGAGCGCGCGGUUCACAUCCGCGAGGUCGGAGGUUCGAGCCCUCUCUCGCCCACCA